CCUACGGGAGGCAGCAGUGAGGAAUAUUGGUCAAUGGGCGCGAGCCUGAACCAGCCAAGUAGCGUGAAGGAUGACGGCCCUACGGGUUGUAAACUUCUUUUAUAAAGGAAUAAAGUGAGGCACGUGGGCCUUUUUGUAUGUACUUUAUGAAUAAGGAUCGGCUAACUCCGUGCCAGCAGCCGCGGUAAUACGGAGGAUCCGAGCGUUAUCCGGAUUUAGUGGGUUUAAAGGGAGCGUAGAUGGGUUGUUAAGUCAGUUGUGAAAGUUUGCGGCUCAACCGUAAAAUUGCAAUUGAAACUGGCAGUCUUUAGUACAGUUCAGGUAGGCGGAAUUCCUUGUGUAGCCGU
rnacentral:rRNA from 1 species